UACGUAGGGUGCGAGCGUUGUCCGGAAUUACUGGGCGUAAAGAGCUCGUAGGUGGUUUGUCGCGUUGUUCGUGAAAACUCACAGCUCAACUGUGGGCGUGCGGGCGAUACGGGCAGACUGGAGUACUGCAGGGGAGACUGGAAUUCCUGGUGUAGCGGUGGAAUGCGCAGAUAUCGGGAAGAACACCCGUGGCGAAGGCGGCUCUCUGGAACGGUACUGACGCUGAGACGCGAAAGCGUGGGGAGCGAACAGG
rnacentral:rRNA from 1 species